CUUUCCUUAGUAGAAAAGAUGCAGAAUCAUUAGUGCAUGCAUUUAUUACCACUCGCCUUGACUAUUGUAACGCUCUUUUCUCUGGCUUACCAGCUCACUCCAUCGUUCGUCUGCAGAAUUUUAAAUGUAC